UACAGAGGGGGCUAGCGUUAUUCGGAAUUAUUGGGCGUAAAGGGCGCGUAGGCGGCCAUGCGUGUCUUCCGUGAAAUCCCUCGGCUUAACUGAGGACGUGCGGAAGAAACUGCAAGGCUCGAGUCCGGGAGAGGGGGGUGGAAUUCCCGGUGUAGAGGUGAAAUUCGUAGAUAUCGGGAGGAACACCAGUGGCGAAGGCGGCUCUCUGGGACGGUACUGACGCUGAGACGCGAAAGCGUGGGGAGCGAACAGG
rnacentral:rRNA from 1 species